AACUCCUGAAAAUGAUGGCAAAAUCCAGCUGUAACUCAUGAAAAGGGUGGCAAAAUCCAGCAGUUACUCCUGAAAAUGAUUGCAAAGUCCAGCAAUAACUCCUGAAAAUGAUGGAAAAGUCCAGCAGUAACUCAAGCAAAUGAUGGCAAAGUCCAGCAGUAAUUCCUGAAAACAAUGGCAAAGUCCAGCAGUAACUCCUGAACAUAAUGGCAAAGUCCAGCAGUAACUCCUGAAAAUGAUAGCAAAUUCCAGCAGUAACUCCUGAAAAUGAUGGCAAAGUCCAGCAGUAACUCCUGAAAAUGAUUGAAAAGUCCAGCAGUAACUCCUGAAAAAGGUGGCAAAGUCCAGCAGUAACUCCUGAAAAAGGUGGCAAAGUCCAGCAGUAACUCUUGAAAAAGGUGGCAAAGUCCAGCAGUAACUCCUGAAAAUGGUGGCAAAGUCCAGCAGUAACUUCUGGAAAUGAUGGCAAAGUCCAGCAGUAACUCCUGAAAAUGGUGGCAAAGUCCACCAGUAACUCCUGAAAAUGAUGGCAAAGUCCAGCAGUAACUCCUGAAAAUGAUGGCAAAGUCCAGCAGUAACUCAUGAAAAUGAUGGCAAGGUCCAGCAGUAACUCCUAAAAAUGAUGGCAAAGUCCAGCAGUAACUCCUGAAAAUAAAGGCAAAGUCCAGCUGUAAGUCCUGAAAUUGAUGGCAAAGUCCAGCAGUAACUCCUGAAAAUGAUUGUGAAGUCCAGCAGUAACUCCUGAAAAUGAUUGCAAAGUCCAGCAGUAACUCCUAAAAAUGAUGGCAAAGUACAGCAGUAACUCCUGAAACUGGUGGCAAAGUCCAGCAGUAACUCCUGAAAAUGGUGGAAAAAUCCAGCAGUUACUCCUGAAAAUGAUUGCAAAUUCCAGCAGAAACUCCUGAAAAUGAUGGCAAAGUCCAGCAGUAACUCCUGAAAAUGAUGGCAAAAUCCAGCAGUUACUCCUGAAAAUGAUUGCAAAGUCCAGCAGUAACUCCUGAAAAUGAAGGAAAAGUCCAGCAGUAACUCAAUCAAAUGAUGGCAAAGUCCAGCAGUAACUCCUGCAAAUGAUGUCAAACACAAGCAGGAACUUCUAAAAAUGAUGCCAAAUUCCAACAGUAACUCCUGAAAAUGAUGGCAAAGUCCAGCAGUAACUCCUGAAAAUGUUGGAAAAGUCCAGCUGUAACUCCUGAAAAUUAUGGCAAAGUCCAUCAGUAACUCCUGAAAAUGAUGGCAAAGUCCAGCAGUAACUCCUGAAAAUGGUGGCAAAGUCCAACAGUAACUCCUGAAAAUGAUGGCAAAGUCCAGCAGUAACUCCUGAAAAUGAUAGCAAAGUCCAGCAGUAACUCCUGAAAAUGAUGGCAAAGUCCAGCAGUAACUCCUGAACAUGAUGACAAAGGCCUGCUGUAACUCCUGCAAAUGAUGACAAAGUCCAGCAGUAACUCCUGAAAAUGAUGGUAAAGUCCAGCAGCAACUCAAGCAAUUGUUGGCAAAGUCCAGCAGUAAUUCCUGAAAACAAUGGCAAAUUCCAGCAGUAACUCCUGAACAUAAUGGCAAAGUCCAGCAGUAACUCCUGAAAAUGAUAGCAAAUUACAGCAGUAACUCCUGAAAAUGAUGGCAAAGUCCAGCAGUAACUCCUAUAAAUGAUUGAAAAGUCCAGCAGUAACUCCUGAAAAUGAUGGCAAAGUCCAGCAGUAACUCCUGAAAAAGGUGGCAAAGUCCAGCAGUAACUCCUGAAAAAGGUGGCAAAGUCCAGCAGUAACUCCUGAAAAUGGUGGCAAAGUCCAGCAGUAACUUCUGGAAAUGAUGGCAAAGUCCAGCAGUAACUCCUGAAAAUGGUGGCAAAGUCCAGUGGUAACUCCUGAAAAUGAUGGCAAAGUCCAGCAGUAACUCCUGAAAAUGAUGGCAAAGUCCAGCAGUAACUCAUGAAAAUGAUGGCAAGGUCCAGCAGUAACUCCUAAAAAUGAUGGCAAAGUCCAGCAGUAACUCCUGAAAAUGAAGGCAAAGUCCAGCUGUAAGUCCUGAAAUUGAUGGCGAAGUCCAGCAGUAACUCCUGAAAAUGAUUGCGAAGUCCAGCAGUAACUCCUGAAAAUGAUUGCAAAGUCCAGCAGUAACUCCUAAAAAUGAUGGCAAAGUACAGCAGUAACUCCUGAAACUGGUGGCGAAGUCCAGCAGUAACUCCUGAAAAUGGUGGAAAAAUCCAGCAGUUACUCCUGAAAAUGAUUGCAAAUUCCAGCAGAAACUCCUGAAAAUGAUGGCAAAGUCCAGCAGUAACUCCUGAAAAUGGUGGCAAAGUCCAACAGUAACUCCUGAAAAUGAUGGCAAAGUCCAGCAGUAACUCCUGAAAAUGAUAGCAAAGUCCAGCAGUAACUCCUGAAAAUGAUGGCAAAGUCCAGCAGUAACUCCUGAAAAUGAUGGCAAAGGCCUGCUGUAACUCCUGCAAAUGAUGACAAAGUCCAGCAGUAACUCCUGAAAAUGAUGGUAAAGUCCAGCAGCAACUCAAGCAAUUGUUGGCAAAGUCCAGCAGUAAUUCCUGAAAACAAUGGCAAAUUCCAGCAGUAACUACUGAACAUAAUGGCAAAGUCCAGCAGUAACUCCUGAAAAUGAUAGCAAAUUUCAGCAGUUACUCCUGAAAAUGAUGGCAAAGUCCAGCAGUAACUCCUGAAAAUGAUGACAAAGGCCUGCUGUAACUCCUGCAAAUGAUGACAAAGUCCAGCAGUAACUCCUGAAAAAGGUGGCAAAGUCCAGCAGUAACUCCUGAAAAAGGUGGCAAAGUCCAGCAGUAACUCCUGAAAAUGGUGGCAAAGUCCAGCAGUAACUUCUGGAAAUGAUGGCAAAGUCCAGCAGUAACUCCUGAAAAUGGUGGCAAAGUCCAGUGGUAACUCCUGAAAAUGAUGGCAAAGUCCAGCAGUAACUCCUGAAAAUGAUGGCAAAGUCCAGCAGUAACUCAUGAAAAUGAUGGCAAGGUCCAGCAGUAACUCCUAAAAAUGAUGGCAAAGUCCAGCAGUAACUCCUGAAAAUGAAGGCAAAGUCCAGCUGUAAGUCCUGAAAUUAAUGGCGAAGUCCAGCAGUAACUCCUGGAAAUGAUUGCGAAGUCCAGCAGUAACUCCUGAAAAUGAUUGCAAAGUCCAGCAGUAACUCCUAAAAAUGAUUGCAAAGUACAGCAGUAACUCCUGAAACUGGUGGCGAAGUCCAGCAGUAACUCCUGAAAAUGGUGGAAAAAUCCAGCAGUUACUCCUGAAAAUGAUUGCAAAUUCCAGCAGAAACUCCUGAAAAUGAUGGCAAAGUCCAGCAGUAACUCCUGAAAAUGGUGGCAAAGUCCAACAGUAACUCCUGAAAAUGAUGGCAAAGUCCAGCAGUAACUCCUGAAAAUGAUAGCAAAGUCCAGCAGUAACUCCUGAAAAUAAUGGCAAAGUCCAGCAGUAACUCCUGAAAAUGAUGGCAAAGGCCUGCUGUAACUCCUGCAAAUGAUGACAAAGUCCAGCAGUAACUCCUGAAAAUGAUGGUAAAGUCCAGCAGCAACUCAAGCAAUUGUUGGCAAAGUCCAGCAGUAAUUCCUGAAAACAAUGGCAAAUUCCAGCAGUAACUCCUGAACAUAAUGGCAAAGUCCAGCAGUAACUCCUGAAAAUGAUAGCAAAUUACAGCAGUAACUCCUGAAAAUGAUGGCAAAGUCCAGCAGUAACUCUUGAAAAUGAUUGAAAAGUCCAGCAGUAACUCCUGAAAAUGAUGGCAAAGUCCAGCAGUAACUCCUGAAAAAGGUGGCAAAGUCCAGCAGUAACUCCUGAAAAAGGUGGCAAAGUCCAGCAGUAACUCCUGAAAAUGGUGGCAAAGUCCAGCAGUAACUUCUGGAAAUGAUGGCAAAGUCCAGCAGUAACUCCUGAAAAUGGUGGCAAAGUCCAGCGGUAACUCCUGAAAAUGAUGGCAAAGUCCAGCAGUAACUCCUGAAAAUGAUGGCAAAGUCCAGCAGUAACUCAUGAAAAUGAUGGCAAGGUCCAGCAGUAACUCCUAAAAAUGAUGGCAAAGUCCAGCAGUAACUCCUGAAAAUGAAGGCAAAGUCCAGCUGUAAGUCCUGAAAUUGAUGGCGAAGUCCAGCAGUAACUCCUGAAAAUGAUUGCGAAGUCCAGCAGUAACUCCUGAAAAUGAUUGCAAAGUCCAGCAGUAACUCCUUAAAAUGAUGGCAAAGUACAGCAGUAACUCCUGAAACUGGUGGCGAAGUCCAGCAGUAACUCCUGAAAAUGGUGGAAAAAUCCAGCAGUUACUCCUGAAAAUGAUUGCAAAUUCCAGCAGAAACUCCUGAAUAUGAUGGCAAAGUCCAGAAGUAACUCCUGAAAAUGAUGGCAAAAUCCAGCAGUUACUCCUGAAAAUGAUUGCAAAGUCCAGCAGUAACUCCUGAAAAUGAAGGAAAAGUCCAGCAGUAGCUCAAGCAAAUGAUGGCAAAGUCCAGCAGUUACUCCUGCAAAUGAUGUCAAACACAAGCAGGAACUCCUAAAAAUGAUGCCACAUUCCAACAGUAACUCCUGAAAAUGAUGGCAAAGUCCAUCAGUAACUCCUGAAAAUGAUGGCAAAGUCCAGCAGUAACUCCUGCAAAUGUUGGAAAAGUCCAGCUGUAACUCCUGAAAAUUAUGGCAAAGUCCAUCAGUAACUCCUGAAAAUGAUGGCAAAGUCCAGCAGUAACUCCUGAAAAUGGUGGCAAAGUCCAACAGUAACUCCUGAAAAUGAUGGCAAAGUCCAGCAGUAACUCCUGAAAAUGAUAGCAAAGUCCAGCAGUAACUCCUGAAAAUGAUGGCAAAGUCCAGCAGUAACUCCUGAAAAUGAUGGCAAAGGCCUGCUGUAACUCCUGCAAAUGAUGACAAAGUCCAGCAGUAACUCCUGAAAAUGAUGGUAAAGUCCAGCAGCAACUCAAGCAAUUGUUGGCAAAGUCCAGCAGUAAUUCCUGAAAACAAUGGCAAAUUCCAGCAGUAACUACUGAACAUAAUGGCAAAGUCCAGCAGUAACUCCUGAAAAUGAUAGCAAAUUACAGCAGUAACUCCUGAAAAUGAUGGAAAAGUCCAGCAGAAACUCCUGAAAAUGCUGGCAAAGGCCUGCUCUAACUCCUGCAAAUGAUGACAAAGUCCAGCAGUAACUCCUGAAAAUGAUGGCAAAGUCCAGCAGUAACUCCUGAAAAUGGUGGCAAAGUCCAGCAGUAACUCCUGAAAAUGAUGGCAAACUACAGCAGUAACUUCUGAAAAUGAUGGCAAAGUCCAGCAGUAACUCCUGAAAAUGAUGGCAAAGUCCAGCAGUAACUCCUGAAAAUGAUGGCAAAGUCUAGCAGUACCUCCUGAAAAUGAUGGAAAAGUCUAGCAGUAACUCAAGCAAAUGAUGGCAAAGUCCAACAGUAACUCCUGAAAAUGAUGGCAAAGUCCAGCAGUAACUCCUUAACAUUGCCAAGCCCGCGGGUCUCUACUAAUUUCCAUCCCUGCUCACCUUGAGUGGGUUUGAGAAGAUGUCCAUGAGCAGGCCUCGGUGUGCGUGGUCUGUCUUCUCCAGGGUCUCCAACAGGAACGGCAUCUUGUCAAUGGCCUGGUACACACGGUACACAUCCUGGCAGGGAAAACAUGGAAAUGUAGACAGGUCAUGUUCAUAGAAAACAGGGUUAUUCUUGAAUACAGGAGAAUGCAGACAGGCCAAUCCAUAUGAUGACUAUAAUACAGUGCUAUAUGAUGACUAUACAGUGCUAUAUGAUGACUAUACAGUGCUAUAUUUUGGACGUUUUACUCUCAUGUUUGCACUUGACCUUGAAGGUAAUCAGCUGAAUCUUGCUAGCAACACAACAUCUCAGUACGA